rnacentral:rRNA from 1 species
AGCGAACGCUGGCGGCAGGCCUAACACAUGCAAGUCGAACGAACCUUUCGGGGUUAGUGGCGGACGGGUGAGUAACACGUGGGAACGUGCCUUUAGGUUCGGAAUAACUCAGGGAAACUUGUGCUAAUACCGAAUGUGCCCUUCGGGGGAAAGAUUAAUCGCCUUUAGAGCGGCCCGCGUCUGAUUCGCUAGUUGGUUGAGGUAAUGGCUCACCAAGGCGACGAUCAGUAGCUGGUCGGAGAGGAGGAUCAGCCACAUUGGGACUGAGACACGGCCCAAACUCCUACGGGAGGCAGCAGUGGGGAAUAUUGCGCAAUGGGCGAAAGCCUGACGCAGCCAUGCCGGGUGAAUGAUGAAGGUCUUAGGAUUGUAAAAUUCUUUCACCGGGGACGAUAAUGACGGUACCCGGAGAAGAAGCACCGGCUAACUUCGUG